UUUAUAAAUCGAUCAUAACAACGAUUGAAGAUUGUCACAGGUAAAUCCGACCAUUUCUCAAAGUGAAUUGGAAAAAUGGAGCAGUCAGUUGCUAAAAUUCCACAAAAGCCUGCAAGAACGCCUUGUCCUUUACCAAUGGGAGAAUCCGUGUCAUCAAAAUCAACCACAAUACGCUCUCCAUUAGAUAAAUUUAACACGUCCCUUUUCUUCACUUUAAGUAUCUUGCUAGCUCCUUGUGAAUCUUAAAAGAUAAAAACAAAAAUCAAUUUGGUUCUCUAUUCUUUGAGGCAACAGAUUAUUAGGUGGGUUCUUAGGCAGAAUGUCAAACCAUCAAGUAACAAUCAAAUGAGUUAUCAGGCAAGCUUAAGUACCUUAAAAGAAUUAAUCUCUCCUACAAUUUAGAAGGAGAAAUAUCUUCUAAAUUGGUAAAAUGAGGAUGGAUCCAAGAGGUUUGAUAACGAAUGUAAAGUGAUGAGAAGCAUUAAGCAUAGGUGAUGUAUUCUUUGAGGUAACAUAUUGUUAGUUGCGGCGUAAAAUAGACAGAAUGUAUAAAUGAAUGGCAAUAA
rnacentral:lncRNA from 1 species